rfam:Ovis aries breed Texel chromosome 15, whole genome shotgun sequence.
UCCUGCCUAGCUCAGUUGUUAAAGAACCUGCCUGCAAUGCUGGAAAUCUGGGUUAAAUUCCUGGGUCAGGAA